CCUGGCGAGUCUCCAGACUCACUCUGCCUUUUUACCUUUUUCUUCAAAUCCCUCCUUAACUUUUGCCUGGAAACACAGCAAUUUUUCACACAUGACAUGGCUUCAAUCUCUCAACAAACGCUCCCAACUCACUCAAUUUCUGCUCCAUCCACACAAUUUACACAUCAAAACAUAGCGAUUUUCCUCACUGUCAUUAGUUCGUUUUCGUUAGUAGAUAGUUUUCCAGUUACACAAGGUUUUGUAACAGCAAGAAACAGCGGUUUUAACUUCUCAUUGUACACUAGAAAUUUAAGCUUUGUUCAUAGAGCUGGCGGUAGCCCACGUUUAGAGUAGAGAAGGCGUUAGCGGUCCUGGUUCAAAACCUCCCAGCAGCAGUAUGUUUUGAGCACACACACCUCAGCUUUUUUGCCUCUUUUCAGCAGACCAUUUGCAGCUACACGGCAGUCACUACUUUACAUCCUUUCUUUUUUUGGUGGAUAUACCAGUGCUUACAGGUAAGACCAUUGAAAUGCCCACCAUUUAUAGAGUGCCAGCGAGUGUCAGUAAUGUUAAUGUGCUUGUGUGGAAUAAUGACUCUCCCAUUGUACAAAAAUGAAGCCAAAAUAUCCCGCUUGUCGGAGCUGCACGUUGCACUUUUGGAGCCAUCACUUCAGGCUCCCGUACAGUUUUUAGGUAGGCAGACCGAUCCAGUUUAUCUGCUAAUGGGUUUACCUCGACUGACUACUCGGUCAAUUAAGAGUCCACAUUAAUAUCAACAGCUACAUCCACCCCGGGGAAACUGGUGAGGGAGAACAUCAGGACCAAGCUGGGUUUUCUUGGUCCAGAGGUCUGGAGAAACUUCUUCCCUUUCUUUCAUCACAGCUGUCUUGUGCUAGAUGUUCUAUUGACCCACUGAGAGAGGCAUAAUUUUAGAAACAUCAGGAAGACUGAAGCUGAUCGCAGGAAUCAAGGAGGACCUCGAGAUCUUCACCACCAGCUCCCUCACAAGGAAAUCUUCCGAAGUCCACUGUAGGCACGGCCCAGAAGAUGGAUAAACCCAGCAUUUCAUGAACACACUGGAACUAAUCUAUCUUCAUAACAGUGAGUUUUAUCAACAGAUCAUAUGCUCUUGUUACAUAGUCUCACGAUAACGAUUAUACACAAAUCUGUGGUGUAAUUGAACUGUAGCAGCUAUGUGGUGUAGCUUAUACCAACAUGUACUGUGUGCUCUGGACUUUGUAGGUGAAGGCAGCAUAGGUCACUACAAAAAGCUUUCAUGGUCAACAUUUGUGUGACUGUAAAGCAAAAAAGUUUUUAAGGAAUUCAUAGAUAAAACUUUAUGAAUCUCUCGGGUGGGUUCAACCUAGCAUGCAUAUUAAUCUGCCUUACAAUAAACACACUGACAUUAUUUGGAACUUGAAUUGAAUGGAUUAAGCCUAGUGCUAGACUCAUAGUUGGACUGCCCAUCGGGCAUACCGGCCAUUUGCCCGGUGGGCCGAUGGUGAUUUUUCGUUUUUAUGGGCCGAUGGAUUUUUGUUGUUGUUUUUUUCUAUAACGGUACAAAUAAUGAAAGGUGGUGGAUUGGCCAGAUGCUGGCCGGUGUGUAAAAAUAAGUCAGUUGUUUGGUGGUGGCUAUGCAACAUUCAGCAUCUGAUCCUUGUUCGUCUGUGUGCUUCUGCGUUUGGUAAGUACAGUUACCUAACUACACCAACUAUAACGCAGUCCCUUUAAACACAUGCUGCCAUCCAUUUCUAACUACCUGGUUACUUCCUGUCAGUAUUUUACAAACCAUGUGGUCACCUGACCCAACUCUGCUUCUUCUUGUUCCCUUUAAUGUUGAAGUGUCAAAUGUCAAACACCUGGAAAGGAAACUACACCAGUGCACUGGGAUGUUUCCCCAACUCGUGCCAGACGCUGUUCCUGCCUGUGAAGGUAACAUCAGCAGAGACAGCCCGCCUACCUCAGGACUUCGCCAAGUCACGUAUUGAUCACGAUGGUUAUGAAGAUGACAGCGAGCGGAAGACUGUAAAAAUCCACCACCAGAAUGUUUAGAUGCUUUCUAAUUAUUAAUGAAUAUCGUGUUUGUGUGUUUUGGGUUUUGUUUUUUUGGCCUCAUUUGUUACUAACAAAGGUCACCAAGCUCAGUUUACAUUCUGUAUGUGUUUUCAUCUUUAGCAGCCACACUCUGACUGCAAUUAAGAAAAACACAAACUUUUAAAUAUUGAAGGGGUUCAGGUAGAGCCGGCUUAUGAAUUACUAUGAACACUUACCAUACUGUACCUGUACAACAUGUUUUUGUAUGAGACAGAUUUGUAACAGAGGCCUUAGUCUCAGUAAGUUUGAAGUCCUUUCCUGAUUUAUUUUGCAAUCUCUGCUCUUUCAUUGAUGAUAAUUCAGUGCUGCUUCCCUUUUCCCAACGACCGAGACUGUCGGAGUCGGGGCUCGAACCGGCAACCUUCCAAUUAGAAGACAAACUGCCACGAUCGCCCAUAAAGUACAAGUGUUCCUGAGUGUUAACAGCACAGUUAACGUUCAAUCAGGGUGGAGGUAGGGCAUGUUUGACAGCCUGUGGGUAAAAGCUUCUAUUGAGUCUGAUUAUCUUUGACCUGAUGGAUCUGUAGCGUUUACAAGAGGGAAGGGGGGAAAACGUGUGUGUCCAGGGUGCGAGGGGUCCUUGAUGAUGAUGAUACUGGCUUUCCGCUGAAGUCUGCCAGUAUAAAUGUCUUUGAGGGGGGUUAGUGAAGUGCCAAUUGCCCGCUCUGGCACCCUCACCACCCGCUGAAGUUUCCUCUUUGUCCUCCACAGUACAGCAGUUGAACCAAAGUGUGCAGCCGUAGGUCAGAAGAACAUAUGAGACACUUUGACUGUUCAGUGCAGUGUGGAGUCUAACAAAGGUCUGUUUUGUGUCCCAGCUGAUCAGCAGGAGGAGAAAAGUCUGAGGGAGCAGCAGAGGAACAUUUUCAGCCGUUUGCACUCAGCUCAGCUACUACAGAGAAAAUGAUGAGCUCAACACAGAAGGACCAACAUGGACCGAAAAGUCAGCGCUCUCAGGAGGCCGACAAACCUCACAGAAGAAAGAGAGAGAAAAACUACAGCUGUGACGAGUGUGGGAAGGAUUUUUCUCGCAAAGCUUCACUAUCAAGGCAUCAAGUCAUCCACACUGGAGAGAGACCGUUCAGCUGUGACUUGUGUGGAAAGUCUUUUCCCUGGGAUAGUUGCCUAAGAAAACACCAACUCUUCCACAGAGGAGUUAAAGCGUACAGCUGUGAUCAGUGUGACAGAGCUUUUGAUCGCAGUUGCAGCUUACAGAGGCAUCUGGUUACCCACUCUGGAACUAAGACAUAUAGCUGUGACAUUUGUGGAAAAACUUUCAGUCGGCGAGACAGCCGAAAUAGACACCUACGCAUUCACACCAGACAUGUUGUGUACUGGUGUGAUCAGCGUGGCCAACGGUUUAUAACAGAUGCACAGUUACAAAGCCACAUGUUUACCCACACUGAGGAGAAACCUUAUAAAUGUGACCUGUGUGAGAAGACUUUUGAACUGAAAAAGUAAUUGGAGUAAAAAAAGCAGAGCGACGCAGAUGGAUCCAGUUCUCAACCCUGUCAUCGCUGUGGUGGUAGGAAAGACUUUUGUUGUGACCUUUGUGGAAAAUCUUUCGGUCAUGCAAAGAGCCUAAAAAUACAUCAACGUAGACACACUGGAGAGAAACUGAAAUACUGCAAAGAAUGUGGGAGAAGCUUCACCAGAUCACAUGAGUUAAAACACCAUGAAGUCAUUCACAGUGGGGUUAAAAAGCACCUCUGUGAUCAGUGUGGGUCAUCGUUCACCACUGCAGGUGAGCUUAAAACACACAAACGAGUCCACACAGGAGAGAAACCAUACAAGUGCACACAUGGUCACACACACACAGCUGUGACCGGUGUGACAAGACUUUCAGGAAUCUCAGUUCAUACUCUGAACACAAACGAUCCCACGCUGCAGAUAAACUGUUUCACUGCUUCAAAUGUGCAAAAACCUUCACUUCACUAUCUGCUCUGUGCAAACAUCAGCGUGAUCACGCGGGGCGGAAAUCAUUCCCAUCUCCGGAUCACGGUGAAUCUGGUGUCAGGGUCAGAAUUAAAACUGUUGAGAUCCGACUCCACAGAUUUCAGCUGGAAUCUCAUGUAAAGAACUGAUGAGGCUGCUGUAAAUAUAAAUGUUCCUGCAGUUACAUCUUAAGCUUUCUAAACUCUUCUACUUUAGUGUUCUUAUCGAGUGGUUAGCUUUGUUUUGUUGGAAGAAGAAAUCUGUUGUUAUGUAAUCAAGUUGUUAUUGAAUGUAUUUUGAUCCAUGUGUUCUGUAGGUGUUCUUUGUUCAGGCUGUCUGUGUUAUGAAACGUUGCAACGGUUAAAUAAAAAAUCAAAAUGUUCAAUAAAGAAAUGGUUUAAUGACA